rnacentral:rRNA from 1 species
CACUAGCGUAUAUUAAAGUUGUUGCAGUUAAAAAGCUCGUAGUUGAACUUCUGUGUGGGGCUAGUUCGGAGUUCUCUCUGGCUAGUUCCAUACAUCCGCUUGCAAGACCUGGAGGGCAUUCAUUUGUCGCCAGGAGGAGCAGGCUGUUUACUUUGAAAAAAUUAGAGUGUUUAAGGCAGGCAAUCGCCCGCAUAUAUUAGCAUGGAAUAAUAGAAUAGGACACUUUUCCAUUUCGUUGGUUAUUGGAAUCGUGUAAUGAUUAAUAGGGACAGUUGUGGGCAUUUGUAUUUAAUUGUCAGAGGUGAAAUUCUUGGAUUUAUUAAAGACAAACUAACGCGAAAGCAUUUGCCAAGGAUGUUUUCAUUAA